AAAUCUCAUACACAAAGAAAACAAUUACUCUAAUAUAUAGAAUCUCAAAAAUUUAACCUUUGGCCACAUAAUGUCUUGGGGGAAACUUUCUUCCAUCCCCAUUUGCCUUUUCAUUGGAGUUCUUUGCCUUGCCUUGCCUUCGAACACUGUGACAGGGGAAAUAUACUGGCAGCAGGUUUACAUGAGCAUGACCAAGCCACCGUGCUCAAACGUUGGACACUGCACAUAUAUAACAUGCGAAACGGGUCCUCCUCAAGGGAAAUGCGCUGCGCUUGGCCCUGGGACACCUCUUUCUUGCCGCUGCAUAAAUUAGUUAAUCGAAGUUUGCACUUGUUUUGGUCUAGCCCAACUUAUGCUGUAUUGGGGUGUAUCAUCUAAUAAUCACAUUGGCUUUGAAUUUCCGUAA